rnacentral:tRNA from 2 species
AGCCUUAUAGUCAAUAAUGAUAUAAAAUUGCAAAUUUUAUGGUGUAUAAAUUAAAUUACUAAGGCUU